rnacentral:rRNA from 1 species
GGGCAAGUUUUUAAGGGCACACGGUGGAUGCCUUGGCACCAGGAACCGAUGAAGGACGUGAGAGGCCGCGAUAGGCCCCGGGGAGCUGCCAACUGAGCUUUGAUCCGGGGGUGUCCGAAUGGGGAAACCCGGCAGUCGUCAUGGGCUGUCACCCACUGCUGAACACAUAGGCAGUGUGGAGGGAACGCGGGGAAGUGAAACAUCUCAGUACCCGCAGGAAGAGAAAACAACCGUGAUUCCGGGAGUAGUGGCGAGCGAAACCGGAUGAGGCCAAACCGUAUGCGUGUGAUACCCGGCAGGGGUUGCGCAUGCGGGGUUGUGGGAAUUCUUUUGAUCGGUCUGCCGGCCGGUCGGCGAGUCAGAAACCGUUGAUGUAGUCGAAGGACAUGCGAAAGGUCCGGCGUAGAGGGUAAGACCCCCGUAGACGAAACAUCAGCGGCUUGCUUAAGAAUCUCCCAAGUAGCACGGGGCCCGAGAAAUCCCGUGUGAAUCUGGCGGGACCACCCGCUAAGCCUAAAUAUUCCCUGGUGACCGAUAGCGGAUAGUACCGUGAGGGAAUGGUGAAAAGUACCGCGGGAGCGGAGUGAAAUAGUACCUGAAACCGUGUGCCUACAAGCCGUGGGAGCGUCGCCGUUGUUCUUCGGAACACCGGUCGUGACUGCGUGCCUUUUGAAGAAUGAGCCUGCGAGUUAGCGGUGUGUAGCGAGGUUAACCCGUGUGGGGAAGCCGUAGCGAAAGCGAGUCCGAAUAGGGCGAUUGAGUUGCACGCUCUAGACCCGAAGCGGAGUGAUCUAGCCAUGGGCAGGUUGAAGCGGAGGUAAGACUUCGUGGAGGACCGAACCCACCAGGGUUGAAAACCUGGGGGAUGACCUGUGGUUAGGGGUGAAAGGCCAAUCAAACUCCGUGAUAGCUGGUUCUCCCCGAAAUGCAUUUAGGUGCAGCGUCACGUGUUUCUUGCCGGAGGUAGAGCACUGGAUAGGCGAUGGGCCCUACCGGGUUACUGACCUUAGCCAAACUCCGAAUGCCGGUAAGUGAGAGCGUGGCAGUGAGACUGUGGGGGAUAAGCUCCAUGGUCGAGAGGGAAACAGCCCAGAGCAUCGACUAAGGCCCCCAAGCGUACGCUAAGUGGGAAAGGAUGUGGAGUCGCAGAGACAACCAGGAGGUUGGCUUAGAAGCAGCCACCCUUGAAAGAGUGCGUAAUAGCUCACUGGUCAAGUGAUUCCGCGCCGACAAUGUAGCGGGGCUCAAGCGUACCGCCGAAGUCGUGUCAUUCCNNNNNNNNNNNNNNNNNNNNNNNNNNNNNNNNNNNNNNNNNNNNNNNNNNNNNNNNNNNNNNNNNNNNNNNNNNNNNNNNNNNNNNNNNNNNNNNNGUAAAUCCGUCCCUCAUUAAGGCUGAGACCUGAUGCCGAGCCGAUUGUGGUGAAGUGGAUGAUCCUAUGCUGUCGAGAAAAGCCUCUAGCGAGUUUCAUGGCGGCCCGUACCCUAAACCGACUCAGGUGGUCAGGUAGAGAAUACCGAGGCGUUCGGGUGAACUAUGGUUAAGGAACUCGGCAAAAUGCCCCCGUAACUUCGGGAGAAGGGGGGCCAUCACCGGUGAUAGCACUUGCUGCUUGAGCUGGGGGUGGCCGCAGAGACCAGCGAGAAGCGACUGUUUACUAAAAACACAGGUCCGUGCGAAGCCGUAAGGCGAUGUAUACGGACUGACGCCUGCCCGGUGCUGGAACGUUAAGGGGACCGGUUAGUGCGCUUUCGGGCGUGCGAAGCUGAGAACUUAAGCGCCAGUAAACGGCGGUGGUAACUAUAACCAUCCUAAGGUAGCGAAAUUCCUUGUCGGGUAAGUUCCGACCUGCACGAAUGGCGUAACGACUUCUCGACUGUCUCAACCAUAGGCCCGGUGAAAUUGCACUACGAGUAAAGAUGCUCGUUUCGCGCAGCAGGACGGAAAGACCCCGGGACCUUUACUAUAGUUUGAUAUUGGUGUUCGGUUCGGCUUGUGUAGGAUAGGUGGGAGACUUUGAAGCAGCCACGCCAGUGGUUGUGGAGUCGCCGUUGAAAUACCACUCUGGUCGUGCUGGAUGUCUAACCUCGGUCCGUGAUCCGGAUCAGGGACAGUGUCUGAUGGGUAGUUUAACUGGGGCGGUUGCCUCCCAAAGAGUAACGGAGGCGCCCAAAGGUUCCCUCAGCCUGGUUGGCAAUCAGGUGUUGAGUGUAAGUGCACAAGGGAGCUUGACUGUGAGACCGACGGGUCGAGCAGGGACGAAAGUCGGGACUAGUGAUCCGGCGGUGGCUUGUGGAAGCGCCGUCGCUCAACGGAUAAAAGGUACCCCGGGGAUAACAGGCUGAUCUUCCCCAAGAGUCCAUAUCGACGGGAUGGUUUGGCACCUCGAUGUCGGCUCGUCGCAUCCUGGGGCUGGAGUCGGUCCCAAGGGUUGGGCUGUUCGCCCAUUAAAGCGGUACGCGAGCUGGGUUUAGAACGUCGUGAGACAGUUCGGUCCCUAUCCGCUGUGCGCGUAGGAAUAUUGAGAAGGGCUGUCCCUAGUACGAGAGGACCGGGACGGACGAACCUCUGGUGUGCCAGUUGUCCUGCCAAGGGCAUGGCUGGUUGGCUACGUUCGGGAGGGAUAACCGCUGAAAGCAUCUAAGCGGGAAGCCUGCUUCAAGAUGAGUAUUCCCACCUCCUUGAGAGGGUAAGGCUCCCAGUAGACGACUGGGUUGAUAGGCCAGAUGUGGAAGCCCGGUAACGGGUGGAGCUGACUGGUACUAAUAGGCCGAGGGCUUGUCCUC